rnacentral:rRNA from 1 species
UACGUAGGGUGCGAGCGUUGUCCGGAAUUAUUGGGCGUAAAGAGCUUGUAGGUGGCUCGUCGCGUCGGGAGUGAAAACCCGCGGCUUAACCGCGGGCCUGCUUUCGAUACGGGCGGGCUAGAGUUCGGCAGGGGAGACUGGAAUUCCUGGUGUAGCGGUGGAAUGCGCAGAUAUCAGGAGGAACACCGGUGGCGAAGGCAGCUCGCUGGGACGGUACUGACGCUGAGGCGCGAAAGCGUGGGGAGCAAACAGG